GAGGGCUCAGCCCCUCCCCCCGCUCCCCGCGGCCCCGCCCCCCGCGGCCAUGGAGCACUGAGGGGGCCCCGCCCCUCCCCCACCCGGAAAUGACGGCGGGGGUUGGGGUUAAAAAUUCGGGAAUUUAAAGGGUUAAAAUUUCGGGAAUUUAAAGGGUUAAAAAUUCGGGAAUUCCAAGGGUUAAAAAUUCGGGAAUUUAAAGGGUUAAAAUUUCAGGGAGUCAGAGCCGAAAUUUGGGAGUUUUGGGGUUAAAGUUUGGAUGAUUGGAGGUUAAAAUUCUGGAAUUUAAGGGGUUAAAAAUUCAGGGUGUUGGAGGCAAAAUUUGGGGGUUUUAGGGUUAAAAUCUGGGGGAUUUAUGGCCAAAAUUUUGGGGUUUAGUUCCAAAUUUUGCGAGUUUUAGGGUUAAAAUUUCAGGGGUUUAGGACCAAAAAUUUGGGAAUUUUAGGGUUAAAAUUUGGGGGAUUUAUGGCCAAAAUUCCACAUUUUUGCUCCCAAAUUCUGGAGUUUCAACACUGAAAAUUUCGGCAUUUUAGCCCCAAAAUUCCAGAAUUGUAACCCCAAAAUUCCGGAGUUUCAGCUCAAAAUUUCCGGGGUUUUAGGGCCAAAAUUCCGGCCCCAAAAUAGCACAAUUUUAACUGAAAAUUUCGGCGUUUUAGCCCCAAAAUUCCGGAUUUUCAACCCCAAAAAUUCCAAAAUUUCACUGCCUGGGGAUGAAUCCCGAACCCUCCCAAAAAUUCACACCUGGACACCCCAAAAUUUCAUCUGGGGACCCCAAAAAUUCACCUGG
rnacentral:lncRNA from 1 species